rnacentral:rRNA from 1 species
CCUACGGGACGCAGCAGUAGGGAAUCUUCCACAAUGGACGAAAGUCUGAUGGAGCAACGCCGCGUGAGUGAAGAAGGGUUUCGGCUCGUAAAGCUCUGUUGGUAGUGAAGAAAGAUAGAGGUAGUAACUGGCCUUUAUUUGACGGUAAUUACUUAGAAAGUCACGGCUAACUACGUGCCAGCAGCCGCGGUAAUACGUAGGUGGCAAGCGUUGUCCGGAUUUAUUGGGCGUAAAGCGAGUGCAGGCGGUUCAAUAAGUCUGAGUUGUAAGCCCUCGGCUCAACCCGAGAAAUUCAUCAGAAACUG